rnacentral:rRNA from 1 species
GACGAACGCUGGCGGCGUGCUUAACACAUGCAAGUCGAACGGAAAGGCCUGCUUUCCCUUGUGGAUUGCGGGUACUCGAGUGGCGAACGGGUGAGUAACACGUGAGUGAUCUGCCCCCAACUUGGGUAUAAGCCUGGGAAACUGGGUCUAAUUCCCGAUAGGACUGCAGGGUGGUGCCUGUGGUGGAAAACGAUUUUCUAGUGGUUGGGGAUGAGCUCGCGGCCUAUCAGCUUGUUGGUGGGGUAAUGGCCUACCAAGGCGGCGACGGGUAGCCGGCCUGAGAGGGUGGACGGCCACAUUGGGACUGAGAUACGGCCCAGACUCCUACGGGAGGCAGCAGUGGGGAAUAUUGCACAAUGGGCGGAAGCCUGAUGCAGCGACGCCGCGUGGGGGAUGACGGCCUUCGGGUUGUAAACUCCUUUCGACCGCGAGGAAGCCACCUGGUUGGAAGGGUGGUGACGGUAGUGGUAGAAAAAGCACCGGCUAACUACGUG